rnacentral:tRNA from 8 species
CUGGGUGUGGCGCAGUUUGGUAGCGUGCUUGAAUGGGGUUCAAGAGGCCGGAAGUUCGAAUCUUCUCACCCAGACCA